UUGUGGAGCGAUUUGUCUGGUCAAUUCCGAUAACAAACGAGACUCUAGCCUACUAAAUAGUUCGGGGACCCCCACAAAGGGCUUCAACUUCAUAGAGGGACAGGUGGCGUUUAGCCACACGAGAUUGAGCAAUAACA
rnacentral:rRNA from 1 species